GACGAACGCUGGCGGCGUGCUUAACACAUGCAAGUCGAGCGGAAAGGCCCUUCGGGGUACUCGAGCGGCGAACGGGUGAGUAACACGUGAGUAACCUGCCCCAGACUUUGGGAUAACCCUCGGAAACGGGGGCUAAUACCGGAUACGACACAGCUUCGCAUGGGGUCUGUGUGGAAAGGUUUGCGGUUUGGGAUGGGCGCGCGGCCUAUCAGCUGGUUGGUGGGGUGAUGGCAUACCAAGGCGACGACGGGUAGCCGGCCUGAGAGGGCGAACGGCCACACUGGGACUGAGAGACGGCCCAGACGCCUACGGGAGGCAGCAGUGGGGAAUAUUGCACAAUGGGCGGAAGCCUGAUGCAGCGACGCCGCGUGAGGGAUGACGGCCUUCGGGUUGUAAACCUCUUUCAGCAGGGACGAAGCGUAAGUGACGGUAUCUGCAGAAGAAGCGCCGGCUAACUACGUG
rnacentral:rRNA from 1 species